rnacentral:sRNA from 1 species
CUUGGUCAUUUAGAGGAAGUAAAAGUCGUAACAAGGUCUCCGUUGGUGAACCAGCGGAGGGAUCAUUACCGAGUUAUUCAACUCAUCAACCCUGUGAACAUACCUAAACGUUGCUUCGGCGGGAACAGACGGCCCCGUGAAACGGGCCGCCCCCGCCAGAGGACCCCUAACUCUGUUUCUAUAAUGUUUCUUCUGAGUAAAACAAGCAAAUAAAUUAAAACUUUCAACAACGGAUCUCUUGGCUCUGGCAUCGACGAAGAACGCAGCGAAAUGCGAUAAGUAGUGUGAAUUGCAGAAUUCAGUGAAUCAUCGAAUCUUUGAACGCACAUUGCGGCCAUAGGUAUUCCUUUGGCCAUGCCUGUUCGAGCGUCAUUUACACCCUCAAGCCUAGCUUGGUGUUGGGCGUCUGUCCCGCCGUUCUCGCGCGCGGACUCGCCUCAAAGUCAUUGGCGGCGGUCGUGCCGGCCCCCUCGCGCAGCACAUUUGCGCUUCUCGGAGGCCCGGCGGAUCCGCGCUCCAGCAAGACCUUUCACGACUUGACCUCGGAUCAGGUAGGGAUACCCGCUGAACUUAAGCAUAUCAAUAAGCGGAGGAAAAGAAACCAACAGGGAUUGCCCUAGUAACGGCGAGUGAAGCGGCAACAGCUCAAAUUUGAAAUCUGGCUUCGGCCCGAGUUGUAAUUUGCAGAGGAAGCUUUAGGCGCGGCACCUUCUGAGUCCCCUGGAACGGGGCGCCAUAGAGGGUGAGAGCCCCGUAUAGUUGGAUGCCUAGCCUGUGUAAAGCUCCUUCGACGAGUCGAGUUGUUUGGGAAU